rnacentral:misc_RNA from 1 species
UCGCAGUUUCCCGCGUUUGCCGUCGCGCCCGCCACACACAAGCGCAAGGCGCACCGAUACAGACACACGCCGACUGAUUGAGCAUUGAAGAACCAAAGAAAAACGGAAAGGCGAAGCAAAAGCCGGGUGCCACUGACGCAUACACGCACACAAGCGCAUACAUGCGUACCUCCAAAGACAUAUAUAUAUGUAUAUAUAUGCCUGUUUAGAUUUUUUUUUUGUGAGGCUCAUUGGCAUUGUUCCUCUCGCUCAGGUCGUGUGCACAUCUAGAAAGCCGCCGCCUCGUCAUUCUGGACGCCCCUUCGCCCCCACUCGUGAGCAAUAACGAGAACUAGCUCACAGCCGCCUUCUCCUGGUCUCCCCCACUACGAAAAUACACACACGAAGCUGUUUUAGUAGAAAUCGAGCGCAUCGAGCACUCCGGCAGAAAAUGGCGUUGGUUCGCGUAGUCGGUGAUAUGCUGCACCUCAGCGCUAUCUUGAUCCUCUUAUCGAAGAUGCUGCGUCAGCGCUCGGCCGCCGGCAUCUCACUCAAGUCGAUGGAGUUGUUCGCCAUUGUCUUCUGUACGCGCUACCUUGAUGUGCUGUUUUCCUUCAUUGGCAUCUAUAACACCACCAUGAAGAUCUUCUUCAUCGCCUCAACGCUGCAUAUCUGCUAUUUGAUGAAGUUCAAGAGUCCGUGGAAGGCGACUUACGACCGCGAAAACGACACCUUCCGCAUCCGCUACCUCAUCGUUCCGUGCGCAGUGCUUUCCAUCCUGUUUCAUGGGACACCGCGGCACAACAUCGUUAUCGAGUUGUGUUGGACCUUCUCGCAGUAUUUGGAGGCUGUUGCGAUUCUGCCGCAGAUCUUCUUGCUCGAGUACACUGAGCGGUACGAUGCACUGACAUCUCACUACCUCUUCUGCCUCGGCGCGUACCGCGUCGUGUACAUGAUCCAUUGGGCGAUUCGCUACUAUAUCUAUCACAAAGUCCGCUGGAUCUCGGUCUUCAGCGGGUUUGUGCAGUCGCUGCUCUACGUUGAUUUCUUCUAUCACUACGUGGUGCAGGUGGUACGGAAGGCAAAGCAGCGAUACGAGCUGGCCAAGUAGACAGUCGAGGCGGAAGGGUGUGCGCGUUGUCGCGUGAUGUGGGAAUAGGGAGGGCGAAGGGCUGCGGAAGCGUGCGCUGGCAUGGAUGUGAAGGUGAGGAGAUGGCUACAUCUGGGGAGUGCAGAGCUUACUUGGACUGACUGUGCAAGUGUCACGGGGGCUGGCAUCCGUGAGAGAGCUGCAUGCAUAACAUGCAUAUAUAUGUAGGGUGCCCGCAUUCUGAAGGCGUUUUCUUUUUUUCAUCCUCGAAUACUGCAAUGCAUAGCGACACCCAUCCUCCUCCUUCCACAGAACAGCGUAGAGCAGGCGUGCUCCCUCGCCGCCGUGUUCAUUCUUUACCUCCUCACGUUCUUCUGUUAACGUGUCUCGGUGUACGUCCUUCUCCGUUCGAGUGUAUUCUCUCGUUAUGAAUCUUUGCGUGUUUGUGUGAGUCUCUCAGUUGUUUACCGGGGCGUGGGCUUGGUUGUGUGAUGGGUCUGCUGUGUCGUGUCUGUUUCAUGUUUCCGUUUCUAUUGUGUUUGUUUCAAGUGACCAACACUCCUCUUCUCGUUCUCAUCGUGUGCACGCGUGGGUGUCCGUGUGUCGUUCGCGUUUACUUUUCCGUACCCCUCCCGUCCCUUCCCUUCCUUUCACCAACACUCGUCUCUCCUUCGUUGUUCACCACGAAAUUGUCUGCACGCAUGCAGAGGCAAACAACCAAGCAAGCGCACACGCACGCACACACUUGGGCGCCUUUCAGUGUGUAUGUACGUGUGUGUGGCUGCGUCGCAGCGUAGCGCUGCGCGCGUGUUUUGCCCCUUGUUUUCUUUGUCAUCUUCUUUUAUUUCCUUCUCUUCCCUCUCCUUCUUGUCACUCUCGUCUGUGCAUGUGCCUGUUUUUUGUUUUGCCUUUUGUCUCCGCCACUGUUCCUCUUCGUGUGCUGCCUUACGUGUUGCCGCCCCCCGACGUUAUCAUAAAAGUGGGGGCAGAGGAGGAGGGAGGUGAAGACGGGAAGGCUCGAAAAAAAAAGUGAGGAAAAGAAGGGAGGCGAAGAAGGCGUGUGCGGCUCAGUCGACUCUCUCCUCUCCGCUGCCGCACCUCUCUCGCGCUCUGUUUUCCUUCGUUUUUUUUUUUUCGUGCUAGCUCUCUUGUCUCUCUGUGUAUCUGUAUAGCAACGUUGUUGCUCUAUCAUUGGGAUGGAGAAGGUGAUGACGACAGUGUAUGAUGGCGUAUAUGCAUGUGGAGCUGGAGAGUGAACGAAGAAAGCUGAGGGGCGAAGGAACGGCGUGUUACCAUCGUCGUCAUUUGUCUUUGUGCACAGGCUCUCGCUUACUCACUCGCGUACGUGCGCAAGCGCGCUCCGUGCCUAUCCACGCCCCCAAAGCCUCUUGAAGCUCAGGUGUGAAGCACCCUUCUCAAAGAAAAGGAACUUACAACAAAAAACAUGCGAUAUGGAAGGUAAUGCCAUCAUCCCAUUGCUGCGCAAGAUGGAGGCGAUAUCACACACAUCAAGGCAAGCUUUCCGGGCAGCGGUGAGGUGUGCGACUCACAUCCUUUUCGUUUCUUAUGUUGCACACAGCCGGCUUCGCGGGUAUUGUUUGCGACGGCUGUCCCUGUCUACGGUGUGGGUUUCUAUGUGCAGUUGAUGGAUAACCGGUUAC